rnacentral:rRNA from 1 species
ACACGGGACCUGCCGGUCGUUAAGCCGGAGGAAGUGGGGAUGAUGUCAAGUCAGCAUGGCCUUUAUAUCCUGGGCUACACACACGCUACAAUGGCCAACACAAUAGGUUGCUAAGCCGCGAGGUGGCGCCAAUCCAUAAAGUUGGUCUCAGUUCAGAUUGUAGGCUGCAACCCGCCUGCAUGAAGAUGGAGUUGCUAGUAACCGCAGGUCAGCUAUACUGCGGUGAAUACGUUCCCGGGCCUU